GGAUUGUGGCUCAGUAGUAGAGUGCUCGCCUGGCACGUAGGAGGCCCUGGGUUCGAUCCUCAGCACCA
rnacentral:tRNA from 1 species